rnacentral:rRNA from 1 species
UGAAAGAGAACCUGAAACCGUGUGCCUACAAGUAGUCAGAGCCCGUUUAUGGGUGAUGGCGUGCCUUUUGUAGAAUGAACCGGCGAGUUACGAUCUCGUGCGAGGUUAAGUCGAAAAGACGGAGCCGCAGCGAAAGCGAGUCUGAAUAGGGCGUAUAGUACGAGGUCGUAGACCCGAAACCAGGUGAUCUACCCAUGUCCAGGGUGAAGGUAGGGUAAUACCUACUGGAGGCCCGAACCCACGCACGUUGAAAAG